rnacentral:rRNA from 1 species
GACUGUGGAUUUAUUUAGUUUUGUUAGAUUUAUUUUGUUUUAAACAUUUAUUUAGUUAAUUUUGGUGAAAUAUAUUUGAAUAUUUUAUAUGUUAAAGUAUAUAAUGAGUAUUAUAUAUAAUUAGGAUUAGAUACCCUAUUAAUAAUAUAGAUAUAAAUUUCUAAGGAAUAUAUUUAAAAUUAAAAUAUUUGGCGGCUAUUUAUAUUAAAGGGAUUUGCUUAUUAUCGAUUCACCUCGUUUAUUAUUAUUUAAUUUAUUUUUGUAUACCGUCAUUUAGAUAAUUUUUAUACAAUUAAAUUAUGAAAAUAAUAUUCUAUAUAUUAGAUCAAGGUGCAGAUAUAAUUAAUUUAAAGUUAAUGACAAUAAUUUAUUAUUAGACAGAAUUUCUUUAAUUAGUUAAAAUAGGAGGAUUUAAUUGUAAUAAAAAUAGUUUGAAAGUAAUCUGAUAGUGUACAAAUUGCCCGUCAUUCUCUAUGAG